rnacentral:rRNA from 1 species
UACGUAGGGUGCGAGCGUUAAUCGGAAUUACUGGGCGUAAAGCGUGCGCAGGCGGCUUUGCAAGACAGAUGUGAAAUCCCCCGGGCUUAACCUGGGACCUGCAUUUGUGACUGCAUUGCUGGAGUGCGGCAGAGGGGGAUGGAAUUCCGCGUGUAGCAGUGAAAUGCGUAGAUAUGCGGAGGAACACCGAUGGCGAAGGCAAUCCCCUGGGCCUGCACUGACGCUCAUGCACGAAAGCGUGGGGAGCAAACAGG